AUGAAGUUCUAGAUAGAAAUGAUAUUUAGUGUCUUAUGCAUGAUGUAUAUAUAUAGCUGUUUGUUAUACUACUGUUAAAUAUCAACAACUUUGCAUUGAAUGAUUAUAUAUUUCUAGAUAGUAAAAAUAGGAUCUAGAUAAUUUUUUAGAACAAAAUUAUAUAUUCUCAAAAAUAUUAAUUUUUUAUUAUUAUAUUUUUAUUAUUUUUAUCAUCAUUUAAGUAGAGCAUGCUAGAAAAAAUAGAAGACAUUAAAGGUUAGAUCUAGGGUUAGAUCCAAGGGGAGGGAUAGGGAUUUAGAUCUAAGGUUUAAUAUUUUUUUUUAAGAGAGAGAGAAUGGAGGAAAGCGGUGGUGGAGGGGAGGAGGGACAA
rnacentral:lncRNA from 1 species